rnacentral:rRNA from 1 species
AUUGAACGCUGGCGGAAUGCUUUACACAUGCCAGUCGAACGGUAGAGGGGGCAACCCCUUGAGAGUGGCGAACGGGUGAGUAAUAUAUCGGAACGUGCCCAGUCGUGGGGGAUAACGUAGCGAAAGUUACGCUAAUACCGCAUACGAUCUAAGGAUGAAAGCGGGGGAUCGCAAGACCUCGCGCGACUGGAGCGGCCGAUAUCAGAUUAGGUAGUUGGUAGGGUAAAGGCCUACCAAGCCAACGAUCUGUAGCUGGUCUGAGAGGACGACCAGCCACACUGGAACUGAGACACGGUCCAGACUCCUACGGGAGGCAGCAGUGGGGAAUUUUGGACAAUGGGCGAAAGCCUGAUCCAGCCAUUCCGCGUGCAGGAUGAAGGCCCUCGGGUUGUAAACUGCUUUUGUACAGAACGAAAAGGUUUCUAUUAAUACUAGGAGCUCAUGACGGUACUGUAAGAAUAAGCACCGGCUAACUACGUG